GCUAGCGGCGAUAGCACGUUGAAUACGUCAGUUCCCAAUGGGUCACUGAAGUUAAGCAACGUUACGCGUGGUUGGUGUCCGGAUGGGUGACCAUCUGGGUAAUCGCGUGCUGCUAGUU
rnacentral:rRNA from 1 species